rnacentral:rRNA from 1 species
GAUGAACGCUGGCGGCGUGCCUAAUACAUGCAAGUCGAGCGAACGGACGAGAAGCUUGCUUUUCUGAUGUUAGCGGCGGACGGGUGAGUAACACGUGGAUAACCUACCUAUAAGACUGGGAUAACUUCGGGAAACCGGAGCUAAUACCGGAUAAUAUUUUGAACCGCAUGGUUCAAAAGUGAAAGACGGUCUUGCUGUCACUUAUAGAUGGAUCCGCGCUGCAUUAGCUAGUUGGUAAGGUAACGGCUUACCAAGGCAACGAUGCAUAGCCGACCUGAGAGGGGGGUCGGCCCCCCGUGAUCUGUGCCCCGCUCCUCACCCCUGCGGGGGGCAGCAGUGGCGAAGCUUCCGUUCAGUGCUAAAGCCUGUCUGAGCAACUCAGCGUGAUUGAUGAAGUGCUUCGGUUCGUAAAACGCUCUUAUUGGUAAAGAACAUAUGUGCAAGUAACGGUGCACACCUUGCCGGUACCGAAUCAGAAAGCCACGGCUAACUACGU